rnacentral:tRNA from 1 species
GGGCCCGUAGCUCAGCCUGGUUGGAGCGUCCGACGCUCCACCGGAAGGUCAUGGGUUCAAAUCCCAUCGGGCCCA